GAUGAACGCUAGCGGCAGGCUUAACACAUGCAAGUCGAGGGGCAGCGCGGGUAGCAAUACUUGGUGGCGACCGGCGCAAGGGUGCGUAACGCGUGAGCAACAUGCCCGUAUCAGGGGGAUAAUCCAGGGAAACUUGGUCUAAUACCCCAUAGCAAUUAAAGGAGGCAUCUUUUUUAAUUUAAAGCUUUGGUGGAUACGGAUUGGCUCGCGUGACAUUAGCUAGAUGGUAAGGUAACGGCUUACCAUGGCUACGAUGUCUAGGGGUUCUGAGAGGAAGAUCCCCCACACUGGAACUGAGACACGGUCCAGACUCCUACGGGAGGCAGCAGUGAGGAAUAUUGGACAAUGGAUGGAAAUCUGAUCCAGCCAUGCCGCGUGCAGGAAGACGGCCCUAUGGGUUGUAAACUGCUUUUGUAUGGGAGCAAUAAGGUCUAUGCGUAGACUGAUGAGAGUACCAUACGAAUAAGCAUCGGCUAACUCCGUG
rnacentral:rRNA from 1 species